rnacentral:rRNA from 1 species
UACGGAGGGUGCAAGCGUUAUCCGGAUUCACUGGGUUUAAAGGGUGCGUAGGCGGACAGGUAAGUCAGUGGUGAAAUCUCUGGGCUUAACCCAGAAACUGCCGUUGAUACUAGUUGUCUUGAAUAUCCUGGAGGUAGGCGGAAUAUGUCAUGUAGCGGUGAAAUGCUUAGAUAUGACAUAGAACACCGAUAGCGAAGGCAGCUUACUACAGGAUGAUUGACGCUGAGGCACGAAAGCGUGGGGAGCAAACAGG